rnacentral:rRNA from 1 species
AUUCGCGGCCUAUCAGCUUGUUGGUGAGGUAAUGGCCUACCAAGGCGACGACGGGUAGCCGACCUGAGAGGGUGACCGGCCACACUGGGACUGAGACACGGCCCAGACUCCUACGGGAGGCAGCAGUGGGGAAUAUUGCACAAUGGGCGAAAGCCUGAUGCAGCGACGCCGCGUGAGGGAUGACGGCCUUCGGGUUGUAAACCUCUUUCAGCAGGGACGAAGCGCAAGUGACGGUACCUGCAGAAGAAGCACCGGCUAACUACGUGCCAGCAGCCGCGGUAAUACGUAGGGUGCAAGCGUUGUCCGGAAUUACUGGGCGUAAAGAGUUCGUAGGCGGUUUGUCGCGUCGUUUGUGAAAACCAGCAGCUCAACUGCUGGCUUGCAGGCGAUACGGGCAGACUUGAGUACUGCAGGGGAGACUGGAAUUCCUGGUGUAGCGGUGAAAUGCGCAGAUAUCAGGAGGAACACCGGUGGCGAAGGCGGGUCUCUGGGCAGUAACUGACGCUGAGGAACGAAAGCGUGGGUAGCGAACAGGAUUAGAUACCCUGGUAGUCCACGCCGUAAACGGUGGGCGCUAGGUGUGGGUUCCUUCCACGGAAUCCGUGCCGUAGCUAACGCAUUAAGCGCCCCGCC